GAUAAACGCUGGCGGCGUGCCUAAUACAUGCAAGUCGAGCGAACGGACGAUAAGCUUGCUCCUCUGCUGUUAGCGGCGGACGGGUGAGUAACACGUAGAUCACCAACUUAUAAUUCUGGGAUAACUACGGGGAAACAUAGAUAAUACUGGCUCAUAUUUUGAACCGCAUGGUUCAAAAGUGAUUGGCGGUCUUGCUGUUACUUAUAGCUGGUUCCGCGCUGGAUUAGCUAGUUGGUAAGGUAACGGCUUACCAAGGCAACGAUGCUUAGCCGACCUGAGAGGAUGAUCAGCCACACUGGAACUGAGACACGGUCCAGACUCCUACGGGAGGCAGCAGUAGGGAAUCUUGCGCAAUGGGCGAAAGCCUGACGGAGCAACGCCGCGUGAGUGAUGAAGGUCUUCGGAUCGUAAAACCCUUUUAUUAGGGAAGAACAGAAGUAGAAGUAACUGUGCACAUCUUGACGGUACCUAAAGAGAAAGCAACGGCUAACUACGUG
rnacentral:rRNA from 1 species